rnacentral:lncRNA from 1 species
UUUAAUCGCAGCGGUUGCGGUUGCGGUUGUGGGAGUUUGCGGAAGCGGGCGGUUGCGGUUUCAAGCGUUUUUUAGCGUUUUGACCGACUGGUUUAGCGCUUGAAAACGGGUGCGUUUGCGGGAGAUUUACGACUGGUUGAUCAGCGGGUACGAUAGCGGUUAAACCAAAAUUUACCAAAAUAAAUUUAAUAUAUGAUUAUAAAAAAUUAUAAAACACCAGAAUCUAUAGUUAUGAAAAUAUAAAUUUUUUAAAAAUGAUUAAUGAUUAAAA